rnacentral:rRNA from 1 species
AGAGUUUGAUCAUGGCUCAGGAUGAACGCUAGCGGCAGGCUUAAUACAUGCAAGUCGUGGGGCAGCAUGACUGUAGCAAUACAGUUGAUGGCGACCGGCAAACGGGUGCGGAACACGUACACAACCUUCCUUUAAGUGGGGAAUAGCCCAGGGAAACUUGGAUUAAUACCCCGUAACAUGGUGAGAGGGCAUCUUCUUACUAUUAUAGCAGCAAUGCGCUUAAUGAUGGGUGUGCGUCUGAUUAGGUAGUUGGCGGGGUAACGGCCCACCAAGCCUACGAUCAGUAACUGGUGUGAGAGCACGACCAGUCACACGGGCACUGAGACACGGGCCCGACUCCUACGGGAGGCAGCAAUAAGGAAUAUUGGUCAAUGGACGCAAGUCUGAACCAGCCAUGCCGCGUGAAGGAUGAAGGUCCUCUGGAUUGUAGACUUCUUUUACCUGGGAAGAAAUCCAUGGUUUAUACUGUGGUUGACGGUACCAGAUGAAUAAGCACCGGCUAACUCCGUGCCAGCAGCCGCGGUAAUACGGAGGGUGCAAGCGUUAUCCGGAUACACUGGGUUUAAAGGGUGCGUAGGCGGGCAGGUAAGUCAGUGGUGAAAUCUCCGGGCUUAACUCGGAAACUGCCGUUGAUACUAUCUGUCUUGAAUACCGUGGAGGUGAGCGGAAUAUGUCAUGUAGCGGUGAAAUGCUUAGAUAUGACAUAGAACACCGAUUGCGAAGGCAGCUCGCUACACGGUAAUUGACGCUGAGGCACGAAAGCGUGGGGAUCAAACAGGAUUAGAUACCCUGGUAGUCCACGCCCUAAACG